AGGCGUGAAACCGGCCAACCGAUGGGCAGGAAGCCAUUCGCAAUGAGAAGGUCAGGGGUUCGAAUCCCCUCACCUCCACCA
rnacentral:tRNA from 2 species